GAGGGGGAUAGAGGAGGAUUAGGGAAAGUAGAGAAACUGAAACUCAAAGCAUACACCUCUACUCAAGGUGACAUAGUUAAACCUAUUUUGGACGCAUUUGAAGUUAAGCAUGAGGAAAGUUGGACUUACAACAUUAUUAUUGAAUGAGAGGAAGGGACUGAAUGAGAAGUUCUGGAACAGCGAAAGACAUAGAGAGCCUACAUCGACAGCGAGAUAAACACAGCGGGAGAACCAGAUGACGCCAGAAGGAGAGAGAGUGUUCCUCAUUCAAAGGUCCUUGGAUGGUUACUCCAGAGAUGGAGAGGACCUCACCCCUGCAGAUGGAGAGGGCCUCUGAGUUGCAGCACUGCUCUAUGAGCUGGUUGCAACUCUCCACCAUGGUCUCCAGCUGGGCCUUAUCACAUGAGACACCCAGGAACCUCGCCAGCUGCCCCACCAACGUCCCCAGGUCCUGGAGAGAGAGAUGAAGGAGAGUAGGAGAGGAGAAUAAGAGAGAGAGAGAGAGGAGAGGAGGAGAGGAGAGGAGAGGAGAGAGAGAGGGAGAUGGAGAGAGAGGGGGAGAGGGGGAAAGGAGAGGGAAACGAGUCAAAGAGAGAAGAGAAAUGUAAAUAAAAUAAUUAUAUUUAGUCACCUCCAAAAUGAUUGGCAUUUUAUAUGCAUGUUACCUCAUUUUUACACCCCAGUGAAACAGAAAGCCAUGGAAGGCCACAAUACAGUUCCUUAAAGGGGCAAUCCGCAGUUGUUACAUCUAUUUUUGGACUUCUGAAUUCAUUAUAUGUACCCGUUGAUUAUUGAAGAAUAGAACUUAUAAAUGCCUCAUGAUCUUAGUUCAACUGUCUUACACCAUCAGAAAACAAUAUAUAAACUUGUUUUACUCAGUUUGUAAACAAAUACAAUUUAAACAAACACUAUAUAGCUUCAAAACAUGAUUCCUUGCAUCCAUAGCCUUGUCUAUGAAUUUGAGAGUGGUUACAUUUCUCCAGCUCCAUUCCUCAGAUUUUUAUCAAAACCAGGGGUGGGGAGGUGGCUUUGUUAUUGUUUCUACUGCUGAUUGCGCUUUAAGCUGAGACUAAAUUAAAAAAGUAAAAAAAAGAUAUAAUAGGGGUGCCAAUAUUUUUGACACCUACGUAUCUAUUUGAGAAAACAUAGUAUUACUAUUAUUAAAAUCUAUUUCUCUGAGCAAUAUAAAAUAAUAACAGUUUUGUAUAAAACAGUUUAAAUGUUUUGGAGUGUACAAUAUUGCUCAGUAUUUGGAUUAUUUAAUUAAUACAGUAUUGUUUUUGCUCAUCUUUAUCAAGAGUGCCAAUAAUUUAUGAGGUGACUGUACCAAAUGAUCUCUUCUUAUCACUCCCAAAUGACCUAUGGACUAGAGUUUGAUAAUGCCUUAAUAAUAAGGAGUAUAAGACAGGUUGCAGCACUUUCUAUUCCAUACGCAACCCAGUCACAGCACUGUGACAAGGUAGUUGGGCUGUAUUUAUAGGGGGAAGUUGAGCCAAAGGGGCAUGGUUUUCUUGUUUCUAGGAAACCAUACACAAAAUGUAUCAUUGAAACAAAAUAUACUGAACAAUAAUAUAAGGCAUUAUUGAUGAGGUAACAGGGGUAAAAAGUAACAAGGGUUUGUUAGGUGUGAAGCCUGUGUUAAAAUAUGCUUAAAGUGAUUAAAAGACAAAAAGCGAUUGUGUUGAAUUGUGUUUGGGAAAUAGAGAUAGACAUGGUUUGAAAAAGGUAGUGGCAAUAUUUCAUUAAGUACAGACAUUUGUAGGCGGCUUAAUUCACCCCGUCCCACUUGUCCAAAACACGAGGUCUCUGCUGGCACAACUUAACCCGGGUGUUUUCAAAACUGUAAUGUUUACAUGUAUUCUGAUUCUUUUCAGGGAUACACAACAUCCUGAAAUCUAUGUAGAUACCUUUGUUAGAAAGAAUACUAUAGUCCCCUUGACAGAGUGAUGCUGAAUGUAAAAAGCGGCUCAACUUACCCCACUGUCCAAUACAUCUCAGACAGAGCGGGGGUUGAACUCUGACUCCGAACAUCUGCUUAUGUCAUCUAUGACAUGUUUACAGAUCCUUCUAUGUGUUAUCUAGCGGUUAUACAUUGGAGUUUCAUUGUCUUGCAAUAAAGAGGCUAAAUUUC